UGAGUAACCUGCCCUUAACUCUGGGAUAAGGCCUGGGAAACUGGGUCUAAUACCGGAUAUGACUCCUCAUCGCAUGGUGGGGGGUGGAAAGCUUUUUGUGGUUUUGGAUGGACUCGCGGCCUAUCAGCUUGUUGGUGAGGUAAUGGCUCACCAAGGCGACGACGGGUAGCCGGCCUGAGAGGGUGACCGGCCACACUGGGACUGAGACACGGCCCAGACUCCUACGGGAGGCAG
rnacentral:rRNA from 1 species